ACUGGGGUCAUAGCCCUCUGCAGGGAACACGCGGUUAGCCCAGAUGCUGCACAAGGGCAAGAGAUACAGCUGGGACCCUGGCUUUAAGGCAGCACAGCAUCCAGAGGGAUCUCUGCAGGACACAUAUGAGAUCGUGUUAUCAGAUGGUUCAACCACUUCCCACUGGUCUCAGGAUAAAGACCAACAAUA